rnacentral:rRNA from 1 species
AGGGUUGCGGCACGGGGUAUCUCGUGGCCACGCCUGUUCGAGGGUUGGCUUUU